rnacentral:rRNA from 1 species
CCUGACGGCCAUAGCGAGUCUGAACCACCUGAAUCCAUCUCGAACUCAGAAGUGAAAGGGCUCUGCGCCGAUGGUAGUGUGGGGGCUCCCAUGCGAGAGUAGGUCAUCGUCAGGC